AGCGUAGACGGUGUGGCAAGUCUGAUGUGAAAGGCAUGGGCUCAACCUGUGGACUGCAUUGGAAACUGUCAUACUUGAGUGCCGGAGGGGUAAGCGGAAUUCCUAGUGUAGCGGUGAAAUGCGUAGAUAUUAGGAGGAACACCAGUGGCGAAGGCGGCUUACUGGACGGUAACUGACGUUGAGGCUCGAAAGUGUGGUAGCAAACA
rnacentral:rRNA from 1 species